rnacentral:ncRNA from 2 species
GAGGCCGCGGCCGUGACGGGUGUCCCCUGCGAGGGGGAUGAAAAGGGAACUCGGUUCAAACCCGAGGCUGCCCCCGCAACUGUAACCGGCGAGCGUUAGCGUCAUCAUGCCACUGGAGUUUUUCCGGGAAGGCGGCGCGAAUGCAGUGACCCGGGAGCCAGGAGACCUGCCAGUCACAGUCGAUUCCU